CAGUACCGUGAGGGAAAGGCGAAAAGAACCCCGGCGAGGGGAGUGAAAAAGAACCUGAAACCGUGUACGUACAAGCAGUGGGAGCACCCUUUGGGGUGUGACUGCGUACCUUUUGUAUAAUGGGUCAGCGACUUAUAUUCUGUAGCAAGGUUAACCGAAUAGGGGAGCCGGAGGGAAACCGAGUCUUAAUUGGGCGUUAAGUUGCAGGGUAUAGACCCGAAACCCGGUGAUCUAGCCAUGGGCAGGUUGAAGGUUGGGUAACACUAACUGGAGGACCGAACCGACUAAUGUUGAAAAAUUAGCGGAUGACCUGUGGCUGGGGGUGAAAGGCCAAUCAAACCGGGAGAUAGCUGGUUCUCCCCGAAAGCUAUUUAGGUAGCGCCUCGUGAAUUCAUCUCCGGGGGUAGAGCACUGUUUCGGCUAGGGGGCCAUCCCGGCUUACCAACCCGAUGCAAACUGCGAAUACCGGAGAAUGUUAUCACGGGAGACACACGGCGGGUGCUAACGUCCGUCGUGAAGAGGGAAACAACCCAGACCGCCAGCUAAGGUCCCAAAGUCAUGGUUAAGUGGGAAACGAUGUGGGAAGGCCCAGACAGCCAGGAUGUUGGCUUAGAAGCAGCCAUCAUUUAAAGAAAGCGUAAUAGCUCACUGGUCGAGUCGGCCUGCGCGGAAGAUGUAACGGGGCUAAACCAUGCACCGAAGCUGCGGCAGCGACGCUGAUGCGUUGUUGGGUAGGGGAGCGUUCUGUAAGCCUGCGAAGGUGGCCUGUGAGGGUUGCUGGAGGUAUCAGAAGUGCGAAUGCUGACAUAAGUAACGAUAAAGCGGGUGAAAAGCCCGCUCGCCGGAAGACCAAGGGUUCCUGUCCAACGUUAAUCGGGGCAGGGUGAGUCGACCCCUAAGGCGAGGCCGAAAGGCGUAGUCGAUGGGAAACGGGUUAAUAUUCCCGUACUUGGUGUUACUGCGAAGGGGGGACGGAGAAGGCUAUGUUGGCCGGGCGACGGUUGUCCCGGUUUAAGCGUGUAGGUGUGUGUUCCAGGUAAAUCCGGUUCACUUUAACACUGAGGCGUGAUGACGAGGCACUACGGUGCUGAAGCAACAAAUGCCCUGCUUCCAGGAAAAGCCUCUAAGCAUCAGGUAACAUCAAAUCGUACCCCAAACCGACACAGGUGGUCAGGUAGAGAAUACCAAGGCGCUUGAGAGAACUCGGGUGAAGGAACUAGGCAAAAUGGUGCCGUAACUUCGGGAGAAGGCACGCUGACACGUAGGUGAAGUGAUUUACUCAUGGAGCUGAAGUCAGUCGAAGAUACCAGCUGGCUGCAACUGUUUAUUAAAAACACAGCACUGUGCAAACACGAAAGUGGACGUAUACGGUGUGACGCCUGCCCGGUGCCGGAAGGUUAAUUGAUGGGGUCAGCGCAAGCGAAGCUCCUGAUCGAAGCCCCGGUAAACGGCGGCCGUAACUAUAACGGUCCUAAGGUAGCGAAAUUCCUUGUCGGGUAAGUUCCGACCUGCACGAAUGGCGUAAUGAUGGCCAGGCUGUCUCCACCCGAGACUCAGUGAAAUUGAACUCGCUGUGAAGAUGCAGUGUACCCGCGGCAAGACGGAAAGACCCCGUGAACCUUUACUAUAGCUUGACACUGAACAUUGAGCCUUGAUGUGUAGGAUAGGUGGGAGGCUUUGAAGUGUGGACGCCAGUCUGCAUGGAGCCGACCUUGAAAUACCACCCUUUAAUGUUUGAUGUUCUAACGUGGACCCGUGAUCCGGGUUGCGGACAGUGUCUGGUGGGUAGUUUGACUGGGGCGGUCUCCUCCUAAAGAGUAACGGAGGAGCACGAAGGUUGGCUAAUCCUGGUCGGACAUCAGGAGGUUAGUGCAAUGGCAUAAGCCAGCUUGACUGCGAGCGUGACGGCGCGAGCAGGUGCGAAAGCAGGUCAUAGUGAUCCGGUGGUUCUGAAUGGAAGGGCCAUCGCUCAACGGAUAAAAGGUACUCCGGGGAUAACAGGCUGAUACCGCCCAAGAGUUCAUAUCGACGGCGGUGUUUGGCACCUCGAUGUCGGCUCAUCACAUCCUGGGGCUGAAGUAGGUCCCAAGGGUAUGGCUGUUCGCCAUUUAAAGUGGUACGCGAGCUGGGUUUAGAACGUCGUGAGACAGUUCGGUCCCUAUCUGCCGUGGGCGCUGGAGAACUGAGGGGGGCUGCUCCUAGUACGAGAGGACCGGAGUGGACGCAUCACUGGUGUUCGGGUUGUCAUGCCAAUGGCACUGCCCGGUAGCUAAAUGCGGAAGAGAUAAGUGCUGAAAGCAUCUAAGCACGAAACUUGCCCCGAGAUGAGUUCU
rnacentral:rRNA from 1 species